rnacentral:lncRNA from 1 species
AAGGGCUUCUUUUCUUUAAGUUCCGCUUGCUGCUUUUCAUUUUGAUAGGAGUAGGUGCUUGCUGUUCGCUCGCUGUCUACUAAAUGAGCCUUCACUGCCCGCCCGGCCCCUAUCUUUAAUCUUAAGUAAAGUGAAGUCAAAUCAAUGAAGUGAACAGCCCAACCUCUUUGUUUGAAGCUUUGCCAGGAAGCUUCUACUUCUUGAAGCUUUGUUUCCCCUAAGAAUUCCGAAACACAACAAUAGACUUGCAACUAGAGUAUAGGAAAAAGCUUCUCUUUGAUAGCAGUCAUAGGGGAGUUCAGAAAGGAUCUGAUCGUAGAUGGAGACUGAAACCUGUGUGGGG